rnacentral:tRNA from 1 species
UUAACUGAAACCAAAAAAGAGGUUAAUUAUUGUUAAUAAUUAAAAUGAAUUUAUAUUAUUUAUAUUCCAGUUAAU